GUUAAAAGUGUUGUGUUUGUAAAGGGGAGGAUUUAGCUAUAUAGCCACACCCACAGCAGAGAAGGGGGGGCGCCAAAAAUAAUCUUGCGCCCAGGCGCCAGUGACCCCAGGAUCGGCCCUGAUGAAAAGUAUAACUUCCAUAGGUGCUGAUAGGGUCUUGUUAGCAGGAGAGCAUGACAUGGAGGGCAUUGUUGAGAAUUGUUAUUGUUAAGCCCUGGUCUCUUGCCCAUUCCACAGCCCCUCUGUGCAG